GGACCAUUAUGUGACUCAUUCCCCUGACAACUAAUAAUUCUUCUUCUAUAAUUAGAUCUAGGUAUAACUUAAGUACUAGUCGGGGUUCUAAGGGAUCUUGAUCUAUAUACUCGAUGUGUUGAGGGAGUAUUUCUGGAUCCCUUAUUGUUGCCUCUUCCAUUUUAGGCAAAGGUUCAACCACUAUUAUGAGAGGUUCAACUAGUAAUU
rnacentral:lncRNA from 1 species